rnacentral:rRNA from 1 species
GACGUAGGGCGCGAGCGUUGUCCGGAUUUAUUGGGCGUAAAGAGCUCGUAGGCGGUUCGUUAUGUCGGAUGUGAAAGCCCUUGGCUUAACCGAGGAAGUGCAUCCGAAACUGGCGAGCUAGAGUACGAAAGAGGAUCGCGGAAUUCCCGGUGUAGAGGUGAAAUUCGUAGAUAUCAGGAGGAACACCAGUGGCGAAGGCGGCUUUCUGGACGAUAACUGACGCUGAGACGCGAAAGCGUGGGGAGCAAACAGG